rnacentral:rRNA from 1 species
UUGAGAGUUUGAUCCUGGCUCAGAACGAACGCUGGCGGCAGGCUUAACACAUGCAAGUCGAACGGUCUCUUCGGAGGCAGUGGCAGACGGGUGAGUAACGCGUGGGAAUCUACCCAUCUCUACGGAACAACAGUUGGAAACGACUGCUAAUACCGUAUACGCCCUUCGGGGGAAAGAUUUAUCGGAGAAGGAUCGGCCCGCGUUAGAUUAGAUAGUUGGUGGGGUAACGGCCUACCAAGUCUACGAUCUAUAGCUGGUUUGAGAGGAUGAUCAGCAACACUGGGACUGAGACACGGCCCAGACUCCUACGGG